UACGUAGGGAGCAAGCGUUAAUCGGAGUUACUGGGCGUAAAGGGUGCGUAGGCGGUUCGCUAAGACAGAUGUGAAAUCCCCGGGCUUAACCUGGGAAUUGCAUUUGUGACUGCACGGCUAGAGUGUGUCAGAGGGGGGUAGAAUUCCACGUGUAGCAGUGAAAUGCGUAGAUAUGUGGAGGAAUACCGAUGGCGAAGGCAGCCCCCUGGGAGAACACUGACGCUCAUGCACGAAAUCGUGGGGAGCAAACAGG
rnacentral:rRNA from 1 species